ACUCAUCAGCUGCAAGAGAUACGGAAAGUUGAGUUUGACAAGAGAUGACUAUCUCUAAACUUUGAAAUGACAAGAUGUUCCGGCUGAGACUUUCAAAGAGAUGCAUUCCAGAACAGAAGCUGUAGCGAGAAGCCCAGCUGCAUCAUUAUUUACAGCUUAUAGUUGGAAAGGAGAAGCUCAUGACGCCAAAGAAAUAGUUUUGAUGAUCGACAAUUGGUCUGAAGUACUGCUUUUCAG
rnacentral:misc_RNA from 1 species